rnacentral:lncRNA from 1 species
UCUGCAGCCACGGGACCCCCAACAGCAGCCUCACAGAGCCUGCCCCGGCCACCCUAGUCUGGGCUAACUGUCCUGCCUUCUCCUCCAAGAUUCCCUUGCCUGGGUCCCUCCUCCCUCGGCCUCACCACACUCCUCUGGGGACCCUGUGCUUGGACUCCACCCUUUCCUGUCCAGACCACUGUGAAGGCCUUUAGUCACCUCCUAGAGAAGCAAGAUUUUCAGCCCUGGCUUUCUACCCCCACACCCUACAGCCGGCCAGGGGACAGGGUCGUGUUCACACAGUGCUAAGGGAACACGCUGACGUGUGUGACAUCAAGAACUCCAGUGCCCACACAGCCCGAGUCCGGAUGGGACGUUUGAAAUCAGGAAGGAGUGUGGGUUGGAUCCACGUUUCUGUUCAUACCAGGCAGGCACAUCGGAAGGCUCACGGUCAGAGGAUGCUGGGACAAACGCCACGAGAGGUUCCUUUUUGUCUGGCUCACCCAGAAGAGAGGCUCCUCUCCUCCCUUCCCUGCAGCACAACGGCCUGGCUGGCACCCAAAGGGCAGCCGGCAUGGGCUGACCUCAGAGGAGCAAGGCGUGUUUGCAGCUCUGCCGCUCACAUCCACAGUGGCCAUGACAACAGGUGCAGCACCAUCCAUUAAAGCCCUGUGUCAUUUCA